rnacentral:rRNA from 1 species
UACGGAGGGGGCUAGCGUUGUUCGGAAUUACUGGGCGUAAAGCGCGCGUAGGCGGCUUUAUAAGUCGGGGGUGAAAGCCUGUGGCUCAACCACAGAAUUGCCUUCGAUACUGUAGAGCUUGAGACCGGAAGAGGUAAGUGGAACUGCGAGUGUAGAGGUGAAAUUCGUAGAUAUUCGCAAGAACACCAGUGGCGAAGGCGGCUUACUGGUCCGGUUCUGACGCUGAGGCGCGAAAGCGUGGGGAGCAAACAGG